GAGUUUGAUCGUAGCUCAGAUUGAACGCUGGCGGCAUGCCUAACACAUGCCAAGUCGAACGGCAGCACUGGGAGCUUGCUCCCUGGUGGCGAGUGGCGGACGGGUGAGUAACGCGUAGGAAUCUGCCUCAUAGCGGGGGACUAACUCGGGGAAACUCGAGCUAAUACCGCAUACCUACUCGAGAGAGGAAAGCAGGGGACCUUCGGGCCUUGCACUAUGAGAUGAGCCUGCG
rnacentral:rRNA from 1 species